rnacentral:rRNA from 1 species
GACGAACGCUGGCGGCGUGCUUAACACAUGCAAGUCGAACGGAAAGGCCCUGCUUGCGGGGUAUUCGAGUGGCGAACGGGUGAGUAACACGUGGGUGUACUGCCCUCCACUUCGGGAUAAGCCUGGAAAACUGGGUCUAAAACCGCAUAGGAGCCAUUUUUAUGGUGAGGGUUGGAAAGUUUUUUUGGUGUAGGAUGGGCUCGCGGCCUAUCAGCUUGUUGGUGGGGUAAUGGCCUACCAAGGCGGCGACGGGUAGCCGGCCUGGGAGGGUGGACGGCCACAUUGGGACUGGGGUACGGCCCCGACUCCUACGGGAGGCAGCAGUGGGGAAUAUUGCACAAUGGGCGCGAGCCUGAUGCAGCGACGCCGCGUGGGGGAUGACGGCCUUCGGGUUGGAAACUCCUUUCGCUAGGGACGAAGCUUUUUGUGACGGUACCUAGAUAAGAAGCACCGGCUAACUACGUG